rfam:Phialocephala subalpina strain TAMH 11012 genome assembly, contig: PAC_scaffold_002
AGCAUUUUAACUCAGAGGAAGAGUGCUGGGCUCAUAACCCAGAAGUCCCUAGAUCGAAACUAGGAAGUGCUA